GUUGCCCAUUCAGGCGUUGCAAAGCGACCGACUCCUGUCGUUUUGUGUCAAAUGGUGGCAUAAAAUAAAAGGGCUAUGUUUACGCCUAGGACUCUAUACAGUGGGUUCUUAGUGUCUUUGUAGUCCUACAGU